rnacentral:lncRNA from 1 species
GUUAUGGGUGCUGGGGUUGGUCAUGGGUCACGCUCUGGCUCCUGGCUGCAUGCCCAAGUCAUGCCAUGGGUCCUGGGUUACAUCAUGGGUCUCCCCAUAGGUGUUAGGUGCAUCCAUGGAUCACGUUCUGGGUUGUGGGUGCAUCCAUGGGUGCUGUUAUGGGUGCUGGGGUUGAUUAUGGGUCUCACCAUGGGUCCCGGUCUGUCCAUGGGUCCUGUCAUGGGUGCUGGGGUUGGUCAUGGGUCUCGCUCUGGGUCCUGGUGCAUCCAUGGGUGCUGUUAUGGGUGCUGGGGUUGGUCAAGGGUCCCACCAUGGCUCCUGGUCCAUCCGUGGGUGCUGUUAUGGGUGCUGGGGUUGGUCAUGGGUCACGCUCUGGCUCCUGGCUGCAUGCCCAAGUCAUGCCAUGGGUCCUGGGUCAUACCAUGGGUCUCACCACAGGUCUUGCAUCCAUCCAUGGGUCGUGUUAUGGGUGCUGGGGUUGGCCAUGGGUCGCACGCUGGGUCCCGGGUCCAUGCCCAAGUCACGCCAUGGGUCUCACGAUAG